ensembl:lncRNA
GACUGACUUGCACAGUCUUCCUUCCUUUUAUUUCAGUCCUGCGAUGGGGAAACAGGUGUCAAACAAUGAGAUCCUGGAAGCUCCCCUGCUGUGGCAGACAUCAUGAAGCUACAGACUGCUGAGUUAUGGAGAAAUGUGGCAGGACGGUGGCGUACAAUGGGAGAACUCAGGACAGUGACUGCACCCAUGAACUGACUUCAGCACCACCUCCUCCAGGAAGGAGGCCUUCCCUGACCCCACCUGCUGAUCAUUCUAGGUACUUUACGUGAGCAUGCCCUGUCACUCCAAGAGAUCACGACUGAUCUUCACUUGUCUCCUCCCUCACCCAGGCGAAGGAGCCCAGGUGUGUUUGGGAGCAGCAAAGGGAAGGUGGGAAGAUAUGCUCAAAUCAUAGAUGUUGCCUGCUGCAGUUUUAAUCCAGACUGCCUGGGACUCAAACCUGCUAAAUCACCAAGUACAGAUGCCACUAAAAUCUCAGCCCCACAACCUCAGGGCAGCACAGGAAGGGCAGAGUUCAUAUGGUAAGCUCUCCCGGGCUACUCUUCCUGACCCAACUGCCCUCCAAACCCAUCUGCCCUCUAAACCCAAACCCACGGAUGAAUGGAUCCAUCUCUCAGUUCUAGCCCACAGGAAAAUGGAAUAAGACACAGGGCAUUGAACUUUCCC